rnacentral:rRNA from 1 species
UAGGGAAUCUUCCGCAAUGGGCGAAAGCCUGACGGAGCAACGCCGCGUGAGUGAUGAAGGUCUUCGGAUCGUAAAACUCUGUUAUUAGGGAAGAACAAAUGUGUAAGUAACUAUGCACGUCUUGACGGUACCUAAUCAGAAAGCCACGGCUAACUACGUGCCAGCAGCCGCGGUAAUACGUAGGUGGCAAGCGUUAUCCGGAAUUAUUGGGCGUAAAGCGCGCGUAGGCGGUUUUUUAAGUCUGAUGUGAAAGCCCACGGCUCAACCGUGGAGGGUCAUUGGAAACUGGGAAACUUGAGUGCAGAAGAGGAGGGUGGAAUUCCAUGUGUAGCGGUGAAAUGCGCAGAGAUAUGGAGGAACACCAGUGGCGAAGGCGACUUUCUGGUCUGUAACUGACGCUGAUGUGCGAAAGCGUGGGGAUCAAACAGG